rnacentral:rRNA from 1 species
UGGGGAAUAUUGGACAAUGGGGGAAACCCUGAUCCAGCGAUGCCGCGUGAGUGAAGAAGGCCUUCGGGUUGUAAAGCUCUUUCACCUGAGACGAUGAUGACGGUAUCAGGAGAAGAAGCACCGGCUAACUCUGUGCCAGCAGCCGCGGUAAGACAGAGGGUGCUAGCGUUGUUCGGAAUGACUGGGCGUAAAGGGCGCGUAGGCGGCUUUUUAAGUCAGGCGUGAAAGCCCCGGGCUCAACCUGGGAACUGCGUUUGAUACUGAAGAGCUUGAGAGCGGAAGAGGAAAGUGGAAUUCCUAGUGUAGAAGUGAAAUUCGUAGAUAUUAGGAGGAACACCAGAGGCGAAGGCGACUUUCUGGUCCGCCACUGACGCUGAGGCGCGAAAGCGUGGGGAGCAAACAGGAUUAGAUACCCUGGUAGUCCACGCUGUAAACGAUGAGUGCUAGACGUUGGGAUUUCGGUUUCAGUGUCGCAGCUAACGCAUUAAGCACUCCGCCUGGGGAGUACGGUCGCAAGAUUA